GCCGUUACGCCUUGACGAGUAGGAGGGUCGCGGCGGUGAGCGCAGAAGGGUCGGGGCGCGAGCCCGCCUGGAGCCGCCGUCGGCGCAGAUCUUGGUGGUAGUAGCAAAUACUCUAGCGAGGGCCUGGAGGACUGACGUGGAGAAGGGUUUCUUGUGAACAGCCGUUGCACAAGAGUCAGUCGACCCUAAGCCCUAGGAGAAAUCCGAUGUCGAUGGGUGGCUAAUACACGAAAGCACUAGUACUGUUUGCUGCUAUGUUAGAAAAGAACACUGCUCUCUAUCGAGUCCCUUGCGGACAGACCGAGGCUGCUGGUCUCUCUUUCUGUGCAACAACAGCUCCCGUCGGGCAAAAGGGAAUCCGGUUCCUAUUCCGGAACCCGGCUGCGUGACCGCCACUCAGCGGGCACUCGCCUGCGAGCGCUCGUCGGGGUAACCCAAACUGGCCCGGAGACGCCGGCGGGGGGUCUGGAAAGAGUUUUCUUUUCUUUAUAAGCGUUCGAGUACCCUGGAAUCCUAUAGCAGGGAGAUAGGGUUUGGAACGCGAAGAGCACCGCAGUUGCGGCGGUGUCCGGACCUUCCCCCCGGACCUUGAAAAUCCGGGUGAGGGCUACGCGGAAGUCGCGCCGG
rnacentral:rRNA from 1 species